AUACAUAUAUAUAUGUAUGUAUGUAUAUGGUAUGUGUGUUUAUGUGUGUAUGUGGGGGGCUAGUAUGUGUAUGUGGGGAUGUGGUGUGUGUGUAUAUGUGUGUGUGGUGUGUGUAUAUGUGGGUGUGGGUGUAUGUGGGUAUGUGUGUAUGGUAUGUAUGUGUGUGUGGUGUGAGUGUAUGUGUGGUGUGUGUAUGUGUGGGGGUGUAUAUGUGGGUAUGUGGGUGUGUAUGGUAUGUGUGUGUGUUUAAGGGAGAAAAGCCCACAAUGAACAUCAAGAUACGCCCUUUGUCUAAUUUCCUUCCCUCAAAUACUCAAAAGAAUAAAAAGCAACCAAACGCCCAAAGUCUUGGCUCUUUCACAGAAAAAUAUUUUAAAUUCACUUGUGGCUAUAAUAUAGUGUAGCUAAGUGUAAGAAAUGAUCACUUGGGUCACAGUUUUACCGCUGCAUUAAAGAAGACGCCGAGAGCGGACGGCUUGUGCUGAUGGACCUGGUUGUGGGCAAUUGAGUUCCUGUCUUACCGCUAUCAUUUCACAACCGUCCGACGUAAUGCCACCCAACACCAUUAAACAUACACAGGACACACAACCCUGCUUACAGACCCCAGUGGUUCCGGGGUAUUUGGAGCCCUGCUCGCUUGGCUUGGUAUGUUCCCUUCUCGUCUCUCCCCAGUGCUAUCAUCAGCCUCCUCCCAGCUUUUAAGACCACAAUAAUACGAUGCCACAGCUGGGCGAUCCAUGGCUUCUGUUAUUUCAACACAAGAACAUUUGGCAGAGGCCAUUACAAUAGAUAGCCAUUACGGGCAAAGAUACAGGAAUUCGCAAACAGAAUCAAUCACUUCAAAUGGCCCAUAAAAAGAGGAAUCUCACAUUUAAUAUUCUACAGUAAAUAUUCACCCAAGAAAGCGCACAUUAAAAGCACAUUAGGAGGUAAAUAUUCAGUGUGCUGCAUGGGGACUUGGCUGUGUGAUUCCCCUCCGCAUACGUGGGUGUUAGGGAGCUGAGCCCCCUGUUUCGUUCAUCCUGCUCUAUACUCCUUCGGACUGGGCACAGAAACGGAUCAAUUCAGGGACACACAGGUCCUAAGAAAAGCUCAGACCUUCAUAAAACCAAAUGAAAAAGACUGCCAAGCCCUGUGCCUAAAGGAUACACUUGUGUGGCCUCUUGGUACCCUUAGGUCACUGCCAGAUUCGUGUUUCAAAGAUGGCAUCUCUGAACCACCUGAACUCAAUUAGAAUGGAGACAGAGAAUCUCAUAUUGAAAUAAACAUGAUUAUUUCACAUUUCAAGGAACUUUUAGAAGGCAAGUGAAUGGUAGGAAGUGAGGGGAAAUGUAGAAAUUCUUUUAGGAUGCAGACAUGCUGUGUUCCGGUGUUGUACCUCUCCAAAUGUUUGCCCUGGGGAGUGAUUCUGGGUCUCCCUGACGAAGGUCCCAGUUUCUCUCUGGUUCUGAGCAUUUCACACUGAGUAGCCUUGUCCUUCAUCCUCCUGCCUCUCCUGAGCCCCCGUGUCUUCACCAUCUACUUCUCCAGAUCCUUCUGCCCUCAAUGUUCUGGCCUCAGUGUUGGAUCGGUCAUUCCAACACUGGGCUAUUCCUGCUGGGCUGGUAACUCAAGACCUGUCUAAGGAAUGGGUUCAGUGUCGAGCCUCCUGCAGAAGAGUAGCAGUAGGUCCCAGAGUCAAUCCCACUACAAAACAAGGUAUGGUAGAUGUGCCCCUGACUGGCCUAGAACAGGGGAGGAGGAAGUUUAAGUCCUAAAAGUAGGGCCAUUUUGGUCAAAGCAGGACAAAACGUCACCCUCUCUGAAGUUUCUCAAAACAAAACAAAACUAGAUGAAAAUCCAAAGCCUGAGGAGGUGGGGCCAGAGGAGAGUUACAGAUUGCCUGGGUUUUUAGCGCACACCAGAAGACACUCUGAAGUGGAAAGAGGUGAGACUUCCCAGAAGGCUUGGAACUGCUUGGGAGUAACUUGGUUAAAGCUCACUCCCCCACCUACUCAGGGUAUUAAAAUGUAAAUGCAAAAAAAUGAAUAAAAUAAAAUAAAAUAAAAUAAAAUAAAAUAAAAGGCAGAGACCCCGUUUUCUACUUGUGCCCCAGUAUGACAUGCUACCUUGGAUUGUCCUGUCUUUCUAUGUGUGUCUGUUAGACUAGAUUGUAAGCUCCUUGAGGGCAGGGGCUGUCUUUCCUUUGUCUUUGUAGCCCCAUACCUAGUACAGUGCCUUGCACACAAUAGGCGCUCAAUAAAUGUCUGUUGUUGGUGUUC
rnacentral:lncRNA from 1 species